rnacentral:rRNA from 1 species
UACGGAGGAUGCGAGCGUUAUCCGGAUUUAUUGGGUUUAAAGGGUGCGUAGGCGGAUUUUUAAGUCAGCGGUAAAAUGUCCGGGCUCAACCCGGGCCGGCCGUCGAAACUGGGGAUCUUGAGUGGGCGAGAAGUAUGCGGAAUGCGUGGUGUAGCGGUGAAAUGCAUAGAUAUCACGCAGAACUCCGAUUGCGAAGGCAGCAUACCGGCGCCCGACUGACGCUGAGGCACGAAAGCGUGGGGAUCGAACAGG